UCAGGGACAUUAUGCAUACUUCCACUCCCUACUGAGGAUGAAGAGAAAAGCUGUAAACCGCUGCUGUUUCACGUCUGGGCGGCUGCCUAAUUCCAGAGCUAGACGACGCCACAGUGACACACUGGCAGCGACACACAGAAGCCGGGCUGGCUGCUCCCACCAUGCGUCCUUUUAUUCCGCUUCAGCGCAGAUAAAACGCAGACGGCGCCAUAGCCGACCUCCCCAGUCCAGCCUCAACGGUCCCGCCUUCCCCUGCCGGGUUUAGCGACCAGCCAUACUGACACCACACGCAGACAAGCAUCUGGACAGACAAACGUGGUCCUGAGAUAUCAAUGUCUGUCAUGUUUAGGCUACUGAAAUAACGGCGUUAAUCCACACACACAUAACAAUUGUCUCGAAUUGAGACAGAAGAGGCCUAUUCGACGAAUGCCAGUCCAAUGUCUGAAUCACAACACAGAUAUGCACACACACUGUCGAAAAUGAGUGAAAUAAAACGAAAUGAAGGCACUAUUCUCCCGUCUCCUCGUUCGCAGUCCUUCUCCUUUCACCGUAUAUGUGCCUCUUUCUCCCCUCUCCCUGCUUCCACCGGCCCAAGAAUCGAUCUCCGCAGGAUCGAUAAGUUGGCAUGAAUAUUCCCUGCCUGCAGAGAGGGUAGUUCGGGAGAGACGGAGGCUGAGGCACAGGCGUACGGAGCGGAGGAGAGGGGAAGGAUGGAGAGAAACGACAGAAAACAAACGGGGAAGAGGGAUACAUCACCAGGAGAAAAGGAACGUAAAUAAACACCAGAUGAACCCGUCGCGCAUUACGCGCACGUGCUCUUUCAAGGGAAUGGAGAAAAUGACGUUUACGCGCAAUUAUUUGCAAUCUAACUAUGGACUUUUAUGUCUGUUUAUUUACACAUUUAAAACAAGAGAGAAGAGGAGUGAGUGUAUUCCAGCCUUCAACACAGAAGUGUGUGUGCCCAGAACACAUUCCAGUUCCCGAGUGGAUAAUCGGCACCGAAAAGCGCGCUACAUGGGAGUCGUUAAGGUGGGGCGGGUAUGCAUGACUGAGCCUCACGGACGUGGCAAUAAUAACGGAAAAUGUCUUACCGGAGUCGGAACGUAGAGCCAACGGGGACUUGAGACGCCAGGCGUUGAGGUCAGGGGCAGUUCUCUGAAACAUGAACGGCACCGGCAAGGGAACAAACAUGAUCUUCCUCCGUCUUCUGCCUUCAUCUCUACCUCCGAAUACACCACAAUACAACACGGUUUAUUGUCCCUCUCCCUCCGCUCCACGUAUGACAGAUGACAUCCGCAAGUCCAACGAGAGGACGGAGGGAUGUGGUUGAGGAGAGGAUGGAGGGAAGGGGAGAGAAGCGACUAGUUGUCCUUCACGCACCCCCUUUUCGAACAGAGGCAGGGAGCCUGCAGGGAGGCUGCUCCAGACUUCCCCUCCCCUGUGGCCUCCAUGGACCCCUGGAGCCCAGAGAGAAAACCCCUGGGAGGCCUCACCAUCCAAUAACCCCUGCUGCUCUGGACCAUUCUCACCAGGGGCCCGGACGGCCUGGGACAGAUUGUCCACUGAUGGGACUGGUACUUGGUCAAACAGAGAAAAUAGAGAGGCUCUUCUCAUCCCCUUUUUUUUAAUGAAGGGGGACAUCUAGUCAGUUGUACAACUGAAUGUAUUCAACUGAAUCGUGUCUUCCGCAUUUAACCCAACUCCUCUGAAUCAGAGAGGUGUAGCAGGGGGCUGCCUUAAUUGUCAUCCACGUCAUCGGCAUAACAACAGAUGUUUACCUUGUCAGCUCGGGGAUUUGAUCCAGCAACCUUUCGGUUACAGGCCCAACACUCCUACCCACCAGGCUACCUCUGAGAUGGAGAUGGAAAGGAGUCAUUGUCACUGUUAUUAUUCUGUACUGUUAUGUUAUUGCAAGGUACUGUAUGGUAAUGGCUAUAUGGAUGCUUGAUAGUCAAUACAAUUGUUUUAAUUGACAUUUGUUUGAUCAUUAAUAAAGAAAGCAUUACACUCAUAGCCUGAAGAAAAUGACGUGAAAUUGGCAUAUUUUCUCCUAACAUGAUAUGUUGCAUAUUUUGAGGUAUGAUUCAUUUGAGAUGAUUGUACAAUCUAUAUAAAACAAUAGUAUUAGCACACUUCCUUAUGGUUAUUCCAAACCUGUCUGUACAUUUAUUGGGCGUAUUCCUGUUACACGUUUCACCAUUUUAAGCCAAUUUCAAUAUUGGGGAUUACCAGAUUAUUGGCCCCAUUGUGGUAAAAAAUGGGAUCUCAGAUAUAUUUUUAUUUCAUUACAAUGGUAUGACAAUGUUAUUACAAAUACAUAGAUUUCAUUGCUUAAUUUGUACAAAAAUCCUACAUUUUCUUUCCAUUUAAAUAGGCAUUAAUGGAUAGAAAUAAAAUUCCCAGGCUGAUUACAAGGUUGUUGUUUCUUAAUAAAUGUUGCAUACUUUAUUGUGUGUGAUAACAUGUCCUGAUUAACGGUUAGUUCAUCUGCCAUUUUCUCUGUAGAACGAUAUAUUGCUAUUUAUAAUCAGGAUUUUGAUUUCAAAAAAAUAAAUGAGAUAUUUUUAAACAAUAAAUCAAAGCUUCAUCUAUGCAUUCAGGAAAAAUGAAUAACAUCCAACAAAAUUGACAACAAAUUCUAUCAAUCACCAAUGACAUACAUAGAAUGCAGAAUGUUCCUAAAGAUGUCAUAAUGGUAUAUCCUUCUUGAAAUAUUCCAUUGGGAAGCUGGGUGGUUAGAACCCAUGAGCCUUCCAAAAGAAGUGUGUAACUAUGUACGAGCUGUGUGUGAGUGUGUACUGCAUGCGUGCAUGAUGUGUGUGCU